rnacentral:tRNA from 1 species
GCGCCUGUAGCUCAGUAGGAUAGAGCAGCUGCCUUCUAAGCAGCGGGCCGGGGGUUCGAAUCCCUCCAGGCGCG